rnacentral:rRNA from 1 species
CCUACGGGAGGCAGCAGUAGGGAAUAUUGGGCAAUGGGCGAAAGCCUGACCCAGCCACGCCGCGUGCAGGAAGACGGCCCUCUGGGUUGUAAACUGCUUUUAACUGGGAAGAAAGAAGCCCAUGCGUGGGAAGUUGACGGUACCAGUUGAAUAAGCCACGGCUAACUACGUGCCAGCAGCCGCGGUAAUACGUAGGUGGCAAGCGUUAUCCGGAUUUAUUGGGUUUAAAGGGUGCGUAGGCGGUUUAAUAAGUCAGUGGUUAAAGGUAGCAGCUUAACUGUUUUACAUGCCACUGAUACUGUUGAACUUGAGUUGACAGAAGGCAGAUAGAAUUUCUGGUGUAGCGGUGAAAUGCUUAGAUACCAGAAGGAAUACCGAUUGCGAAGGCAGUCUGCUGCAGUCACACUGACGCUGAGGCACGAAAGUGCGGGGAUCAAACAGGAUUAGAUACCCUGGUAGUCCGCACAGUAAACGAUGAUUACUAGAUGUUGGCCAAGCCAGUGUCCAAGGGAAACCGAUAAGUAAUCCACCGNGGAGUACGCCGCGACGAGUAACGUACAAUUAGAGUAGUUAGGCGUGAGAGNGCGACGGACGACGACGAGGGAGGAGG